rnacentral:rRNA from 1 species
ACAUGCAGUCGACGGUAAGGCCUUCGGNUACACGAGUGGCGAACGGGUGAGUAACACGUGGGUGAUCUGCCCUGCACUUCGGGAUAAGCCCGGGAAACUGGGUCUAAUACCGGAUAGUACUGCGCGGUGCAUGCCGUGUGGUGGAAAGAUUUAUCGGUGCAGGAUGGGCCCGCGNCCUAUCAGCUUGUUGGUGGGGUAAUGGCCUACCAAGGCGACGACGGGUAGCCGGCCUGAGAGGGCGACCGGCCACACUGGGACUGAGACACGGNCCCAGACUCCUACGGGAGCAGCAGUGGGGAAUAUUGCACAAUGGGCGCA